rnacentral:rRNA from 1 species
UACGUAGGGUGCAAGCGUUGUCCGGAAUUAUUGGGCGUAAAGGGCUCGUAGGCGGUCCAUCGCGUCGGGAGUGAAAAGCUGGGGCUUAACCCCAGUCCUGCUUCCGAUACGGGUGGACUAGAGGUAGGCAGGGGAGAACGGAAUUUCCGGUGUAGCGGUGAAAUGCGUAGAUAUCGGAAGGAACAUCAGUGGCGAAAGCGACUUCCUGGACCAAUACUGACGCUCAUGUGCGAAAGCGUGGGGAGCAAACAGG